GAUAACUGCAGCCUUUUGGACCAAGGUCAAGGUCAACUUUACUCCUAUAGUAUAUUUUUUAAAAAAAGUGGCCAAAGUGCUGUGCAAAGAUAUAGGUAAAAAUAUAAGAAAAUGAUAAAACUAGCACCAAUAUAUAGAUAUACAAGAUGAGAUAUAAAACUGAUAAAAACAGAUACACAGUAAUAGGGUAAAUAGCAUCUAAAAACACAACCAGAAGAUAAAACAAAGGUCACACACUUGUACUAAAGGCCUGUGUGAAUAGGUGCAUAUUUAAAACAGAUUUAACACUUUCAGUAUCUUUAACCCUCAGGUCCUUGGGUAUUUUUGUACAUUUUUCUCAUUUGGUCAUCAUUUUGGCUGUGUUGCAGCUUUUGGCAUGAAAUUCAGCAGGGACUUUUCUUUUUAGUGAUAUUUUUGAAAUCCAGUGUCUUUUACUCUUACAUGUGUUUUAUCCUCCCAUGAGGCUCUAAUCACCACCAAUGUUCCAUCUGCCUACUAUUUAUUAUAUGGAAAAUAU